CUUUCCAUCCAUCUCACCAAAAGCCACUCAUCCAAAUCAACAAAAAUCAAAAAAAUUAUGAAUGGAGCAAGAGUGUAAAACUGCAGGUGAGUUUAUUUUUUUAUAUUUCUUUAUUCCUACAACAACAACACAUUAAACUCACACUCAUCAACUAACCACACAUAAAUUUCUCACCAUGAAAAUUAUCACUUUGUUUCUUUAUACCAUAAACCAACAAUUUUCCUUCACAUGUAAAUCCAUACAAACAACUACUUUCCACUACUAUCAUAACAAACUUCCUCUCUCAUGUACAUAACUCUCACCAUAUGAACUUAUCACACCCCCAUGAAACCAAUCAUCAUCCUCUCAUACUCCUCUAAAAUUUACAAAAACAAAACUACCACUUGCUACUUCCAUUCUUUACACUUCUUAAACACUCACCGUAAAACAAUUUUUCUUCUACACUAACAACCUUCAUGUGAAUCAACAACAACUCCACCAUCGUUUCUUCGAUCUGAUAGCUUUCCUUUUACUCUUGAUAAUCUAUCAUUAUAUGUUUCUUUUUCAUAUAUUUUGAAUGAUAUUUUGUUUGUUUGUGAAAAAAAAAAACUUAUACUUUUAUUUCCAUGAAAGAGUAAAAUAUAAUAAGAGAGAGUUUUGAUGUAAGAAUAUUUUCCCAGUAAAGUAAGAGAGAUGAUGUGCUUGUUUGUUUGUUCAUUUUUAUUAUUUAUUUUAUUUGUUGUAUUAUUAUUGUAAUAUUAUUAGUCACAUGUCAACAUGUCCUAUUUUUAUUUGUCUAGUUUUUAAAUUUGAGAAAAAGGAACAAAAAAAGUUCAUUUAGUUAUAAUAGUAACUUAUAGGCAGUAUAUCAUAAAAGCAAGUCACGCCUGCCCCUUUUUGUUUUUA
rnacentral:lncRNA from 1 species